UUUUAUUGUCAGUAAUUGUUAAGAGCAUUUUUUUAUUUGUACCUUAUCAACAGGAGAAAAAACUGCGUACAUCUAAUUUUAAUGACAUUAACAGUUGCUGUAGGUUGGGGUAGAGGAUAGGAGAUAGGGGGAUGCAGAAAGUACACAGAAGCAAACAAACAUCAGGAAUACUAGGAGAGGAAGGAGGGCUAAAUACCACAAUGGCAACAGAAAAAAUACACCGUAACACUUUAUCAAACAGAUGCAACAUGAUUUGUUGAGUUUCCUUUUUUUAAGUUUGUUUAUAUGAAAUGUAUUUUUUUUAUGCAUUUUCCCCCUUUAUUUCCCCACCCUAAAUGUUUUACACAAAACAAACCUAGCAUCUACAAGUGAACUGUAAAGACACAGGGUCCAGAGUUCCACAGCUGCUUCCUAAAUUGAAUAUUUAAAUAAUAGUCAUAGUUUCAUUCACAAUAUGGUUCAGACAACUGCAAGCCCUCUUGAGUGCAUUCUCAGCCUGCUCUGAGUGCCUUGGGGUGUUCAUCAAACACUAUGGACUAAAAUAUCUUACAGCCAUCCAAUGCCUACUGUAGCUAGCAUUGGUGAAUGGAUCGUGAUCACAGCUUCUGUGAGCUUUCAGCUACAUCAAAGUUUCUUUUGAACUGAGAUUUGUGAGAUGAGAAUCACUGCAGUAUCCUCUUAAACUUAAUCAGGACUGGCAAACCAGCCUUCUAGAAGAAAAACUCCCAGAGAGAACUCAUGAGAGUAGCAUUAUUUAGUACUCUGUAAGUAAAAUAUAUUUUAUAAUCAGAAAUAUGUCAUGUGUAUCUGAGAAUUGUAUUAUGGCAUUGCCAUUGCCAUUGAGAUUUUGUGUUUGGACUCUUAAUAUGAAACUACCCUUCCCAGACUCACCUGCGUGUGACGAGGAUUCACGGGAGAGAUGUGUGAGUGACAGAGAAGUGAAGUAAUGGAGAUGUAGCCUAAUGUGUUAUGCUACUAAAGUAUGUGCUGCUGCAACUUGGAAUGACUCAACUAUAAAAAAUAUCUUGAUUGUAACCUGACUCUUUAUCAUCGAAAUCCACGGGCUCUUUGGACAAGGUGAUAGAUAGUUAAGUAAAAUAAUUAUGGUUACAUUUAAUACUCUGUAAGUAAAAUAAGCCUUGUUCGAGCCAGAAUGGCCCAUAUGGGCAGGAGCCUAACUCCUGUUUCUGUAGUGUGAGGCAGCUUGAUGUACAAGUACACCCCCUGGACAGGAAGCUAGUCUGCCACAGGGCCUUUAGUACUCUAUUGCAGGCCUGAAAGAUGCACUUCUUAACAAUAUCAGCACAGUUGUCUGAAGUCAACUUCAACAAGAAUAACAUACUAGUCAACUAAUAUCUACAAAAAACAUGAAGAAGUGUUCAUAUCUUUAUCCAAUGAUUCAGUAAAUAACUUAUUCAAAUCCCUUUAUUUGAAAUAGAAAAUAGCCUCUUUCCAUAACUAGAAUUGAUACAUGCUCAUCAUACCAUUAUCUAGUGCUUGCAGUAAUGCAAUUGUACAGGUAUAAGUUGUACUUAAAGGACUUAUCACUUUUUUUAAAUUGUUUUUUGAAGAGAUGUUGUUGCUGAC
rnacentral:lncRNA from 1 species